UACGUAGGGUGCAAGCGUUAAUCGGAAUUACUGGGCGUAAAGCGCACGUAGGCGGCUUUGUGUGUCGGAUGUGAAAUCCCUCGGCUCAACCAAGGAAGUGCAUUCGAAACUGCAAGCUUGAGUACUUAAGAGGAUCGCGGAAUUCCCGGUGUAGGAGGUGAAAUUCGUAGAUAGUCGGGAAGGAACACCAGUGGCGAAGGGCGGCGAUCUGGGAAGAUACUGACGCUGAGGUGACGAAAGCGUGGGGAGCAAAGCAGGAU
rnacentral:rRNA from 1 species